rnacentral:lncRNA from 1 species
GGAGAUGAACUUUCACUCUUCCAUAAUUGAUAAAGAAAUCUAUGCCUCCAAAUUAGGCUGGUCUGGUACGCGAGACGCCAACAAGAAAAAAACACUAAACACCCACAAUAAAGAAUAAUAAAAUAUUCAAAGGUGUUUACAAAGGAGUGCAAAGGUUGAGAUGUUCAAGUACUAGACACCAUAUUGUUUGUCUGUGAAACCAAAGAAGAGCAGAGAUCGCAAGGUGGUCGCUUUUAACAACUGGACCAGGAAACAGGAAGUGGUGAUUCACAGGAAGACUCAAAUCACCGCGCAUCAAGGAAAUCUUUGCCUCCAAAUUAGGCUGGUCUGGUACGCGAGACGGCAACAAGAAAAAAACACUAAACGCCCACAAUAAAGAAUAAUAAAAUAUUCAAAGGUAUUUACAAAGGAGUGCAAAGGUUGAGAUGUUCAAGUACUAGACACCAUACUGUUUGUCUGAAACCAAAGAGAUCAUAGAUUACAAGGUGGUCGCUUUGAACAACUGGACCAGGAAACAGGAGGUGAUUCACAGGAAGACUCAAAUCACCGUGCAUAAAGUGAUAUAAACACACAGAAGCUACUUUGCUGUUCUAGAGUGCUUGAUAAGCCAGUCAAUGACAACGUCUAUGUUCACAGAAUCCUUACAGGAGAUCAUGUAGCAACAAACUUCACGAUCCUGUAUUG